AUUGAACGCUGGCGGCAUGCCUUACACAUGCAAGUCGAACGGUAACAGGUCUUCGGAUGCUGACGAGUGGCGAACGGGUGAGUAAUACAUCGGAACGUGCCCGAGAGUGGGGGAUAACGGAGCGAAAGCUUUACUAAUACCGCAUACGAUCUCAGGAUGAAAGCAGGGGACCGCAAGGCCUUGCGCUCACGGAGCGGCCGAUGGCAGAUUAGGUAGUUGGUGGGAUAAAAGCUUACCAAGCCGACGAUCUGUAGCUGGUCUGAGAGGACGACCAGCCACACUGGGACUGAGACACGGCCCAGACUCCUACGGGAGGCAGCAGUGGGGAAUUUUGGACAAUGGGCGAAAGCCUGAUCCAGCCAUUCCGCGUGCAGGAUGAAGGCCCUCGGGUUGUAAACUGCUUUUGUACAGAACGAAAAGGUUUCUACUAAUACUAGGAGCUCAUGACGGUACUGUAAGAAUAAGCACCGGCUAACUACGUGCCAGCCGCCGCUGUAACAC
rnacentral:rRNA from 1 species